rnacentral:rRNA from 1 species
AUUGAACGCUGGCGGCAGGCCUAACACAUGCAAGUCGAGCGGUAGCACAGGGAGCUUGCUCCUGGGUGACGAGCGGCGGACGGGUGAGUAAUGUCUGGGAAACUGCCUGAUGGAGGGGGAUAACUACUGGAAACGGUAGCUAAUACCGCAUAACGUCGCAAGACCAAAGAGGGGGACCUUCGGGCCUCUUGCCAUCAGAUGUGCCCAGAUGGGAUUAGCUAGUAGGUGGGGUAACGGCUCACCUAGGCGACGAUCCCUAGCUGGUCUGAGAGGAUGACCAGCCACACUGGAACUGAGACACGGUCCAGACUCCUACGGGAGGCAGCAGUGGGGAAUAUUGCACAAUGGGCGCAAGCCUGAUGCAGCCAUGCCGCGUGUAUGAAGAAGGCCUUCGGGUUGUAAAGUACUUUCAGCGGGGAGGAAGGUGUUGGGGUUAAUAACCUCAGCAAUCGACGUUACCCGCAGAAGAAGCACCGGCUAACUCCGUGUCAGCCGCCGCAGUAA